GCAGGCCCUGAUCGAAGCCGGGUUAGUGCUUGCUGUAACUAACGCGGUCAAACAGAGGCCGAGAGCAAUGUUUUCCACCGACGGUCGCUGCUCAGGCUCUGUGUCCGAGAUCAGCAACAUUAUGGGGAAAUACAUCC